CUCUGGCCAGCUUUAAAGUAUGAGUCAUCUCUUGGUUAAUCCACCGCCACCGUGAGUCCUCAGUUUCUGUGAAGCCGCGCUGAAAUUAAACUUGUGGAAAUAAAAUUGGGAAAACCUAGAUCGAAAAUCGAAAAACCAAUUCAACCCAGAACUCAGGAAACACAUGGAACCAAAUAUCUUAUACUUCGCCGGAAAUUAGAGAGUAUAUAUCAGCAAAAGAAGCAUGAUGAUUGAGAGAGACUGGCUUAGCGCGGGAGUUGAGAGCUGGGGAGUAUUAAGCGAGCCAGAGGACCGCAAUAGCUGGGAGAAAUUGAGGAAGAAGAAACUGGGACAUGAUUUUCGAUGGGUUUAGGCUGAGAUUGGAGGUAACAGCAGAAGGCCAGAAGGCUAGAGGGAUAGGAAGGCAAUAUAGGGAAAUUGUUUUGUUUUUUUUUGGAAAGACACAUGUUACUUUCAGAAAUGCUGACGUGUUGCAAAAUUGGAGAGAG
rnacentral:lncRNA from 1 species